rnacentral:lncRNA from 1 species
GGAUAUGUGGUCUAUAUUUUCUUUCCUAUUUUGCUCAUUUUUAGUAUAAAUAUCUUGUGAAAUAUAUCUACAUUACUUAUUUAAUUAUUUGCCGUCAUUAAAUUUUUUUCCAUCAUAUAGAACUAUUUAAUUUUUGCCAAAAUGAUGAAGACAUUAUAUUUUGGGAGUGCAUGUAUUAAAUAUACAUACGUGGGCAUCGCAACCUAGAAUGACUGCAUU